GAUAAACGCUGGCGGUGUACAUAAGACAUGCAAGUCGAACGGGAGAAGACAGGAAGAUUUAUCUACUUGUUGGACACCGUGGCGGACGGGUGAGUAACACGUAAGCAACCUGCCUAUAAGAGGGGAAUAACAGUGAGAAAUUACUGAUAAUACCGCAUAAGCUGGAGGUAUCGCAUGAUACAUUCAGAAAAGAUUUAUCGCUUAUAGAUGGGCUUGCGUCUGAUUAGCUAGUUGGUGAGAUAACAGCUCACCAAGGCGACGAUCAGUAGCCGGAUUGAGAGGUUGAACGGCUACAUUGGGACUGAGACACGGCCCAGACUCCUACGGGAGGCAGCAGUCGGGAAUAUUGCACAAUGGAGGAAACUCUGAUGCAGUGACACCGCGUAUAGGAAGAAGGUCUUAGGAUUGUAAGCUAUUGUCGUGNGAGAAGAAAA
rnacentral:rRNA from 1 species